rnacentral:rRNA from 1 species
GAUGAACGCUGGCGGCGUGCUUAACACAUGCAAGUCGAACGAUGAAGCUCAGCUUGCUGGGUGGAUUAGUGGCGAACGGGUGAGUAACACGUGAGUAACCUGCCCUUAACUCUGGGAUAAGCCUGGGAAACUAGGUCUAAUACCGGAUAGGAGCGCCUACCGCAUGGUGGGUGUUGGAAAGAUUUAUCGGUUUUGGAUGGACUCGCGGCCUAUCAGCUUGUUGGUGAGGUAAUGGCUCACCAAGGCGACGACGGGUAGCCGGCCUGAGAGGGUGACCGGCCACACUGGGACUGAGACACGGCCCAGACUCCUACGGGAGGCAGCAGUGGGGAAUAUUGCACAAUGGGCGAAAGCCUGAUGCAGCGACGCCGCGUGAGGGAUGACGGCCUUCGGGUUGUAAACCUCUUUCAGUAGGGAAGAAGCGAAAGUGACGGUACCUGCAGAAGAAACACCGGCUAACUACGUGCCAGCAGCCGCGGUAAUACGUAAGGUGCGAGCGUAUCCCGGAAUAUUGGGCGUAAGAGCUCCUAGGCGGUUUGUCGCGUCUGUCGUGAAAGUCCGGGGCUUAACCCCGGAUCUGCGGUGGGUACGGGCAGACUAGAGUGCAGUAGGGGAGACUGGAAUUCCUGGUGUAGCGGUGGAAUGCGCAGAUAUCAGGAGGAACACCGAUGGCGAAGGCAGGUCUCUGGGCUGUAACUGACGCUGAGGAGCGAAAGCAUGGGGAGCGAGCAGGAUUAGAUACCCUGGUAGUCCAUGCCGUAAACGUUGGGCACUAGGUGUGGGGACCAUUCCACGGUUUCCGCGCCGCAGCUAACGCAUUAAGUGCCCCGCCUGGGGAGUACGGCCGCAAGGCUAAAACUCAAAGGAAUUGACGGGGGCCCGCACAAGCGGCGGAGCAUGCGGAUUAAUUCGAUGCAACGCGAAGAACCUUACCAAGGCUUGACAUGUUCUCGAUCGCCGUAGAGAUACGGUUUCCCCUUUGGGGCGGGUUCACAGGUGGUGCAUGGUUGUCGUCAGCUCGUGUCGUGAGAUGUUGGGUUAAGUCCCGCAACGAGCGCAACCCUCGUUCCAUGUUGCCAGCACGUAAUGGUGGGGACUCAUGGGAGACUGCCGGGGUCAACUCGGAGGAAGGUGAGGACGACGUCAAAUCAUCAUGCCCCUUAUGUCUUGGGCUUCACGCAUGCUACAAUGGCCGGUACAAUGGGUUGCGAUACUGUGAGGUGGAGCUAAUCCCAAAAAGCCGGUCUCAGUUCGGAUUGGGGUCUGCAACUCGACCCCAUGAAGUCGGAGUCGCUAGUAAUCGCAGAUCAGCAACGCUGCGGUGAAUACGUUCCCGGGCCU